GACGAACGCUGGCGGCGUGCUUAACACAUGCAAGUCGAACGGAAAGGCCCUGCUUUUGUGGGGUGCUCGAGUGGCGAACGGGUGAGUAACACGUGAGUAACCUGCCCUUGACUUUGGGAUAACUUCAGGAAACUGGGGCUAAUACCGGAUAGGAGCUCCUGCUGCAUGGUGGGGGUUGGAAAGUUUCGGCGGUUGGGGAUGGACUCGCGGCUUAUCAGCUUGUUGGUGGGGUAGUGGCUUACCAAGGCUUUGACGGGUAGCCGGCCUGAGAGGGUGACCGGCCACAUUGGGACUGAGAUACGGCCCAGACUCCUACAGGAGGCAGCAGUGGGGAAUAUUGCACAAUGGGCGGAAGCCUGAUGCAGCAACGCCGCGUGCGGGAUGACGGCCUUCGGGUGGUAAACCGCUUUCGCCUGUGACGAAGCGUGAGUGACGGUAAUGGGUAAAGAAGCACCGGCUAACUACGU
rnacentral:rRNA from 1 species